rnacentral:lncRNA from 1 species
UCCUGUCAUAAUCACACUUCAUAUCAGUCCCACGCGCUCACCAAUCAUGAUAAUCACACGUCCUCCAUUUUCUGACUAGCUCGUCAAUUCAUAAAGUUAUCGUCAGGGAUGCACUUCACUCGUUGAAACCCGCUUUUCGACACUCACCUCAGAGGCUUAUACCCUGAAAAUGGCGGAUUUCGAAGAUGCCCAGAAGCCUAACGGCGGCUUCCUGGAGGUGGAUGGGGGCGAUGACCUCACUCUCUACCAUGUUCUCCACCGUCUGAUGGCCGCGAUCUUCUUCCCGGAUCCCACUUCCAGUGCUUCGCUGCUGCGCCGGGUCAAGAUCUCCGUUGCCGACAACGUCCCUCUGCUUCGACAAGCUUCCAAAAACACCGCCCGGAA